AACGAACGCUGGCGGCAUGCCUAACACAUGCAAGUCGAACGAAGGCUUCGGCCUUAGUGGCGCACGGGUGCGUAACGCGUGGGAACCUGCCCCUCGGUUCGGAAUAACAGUUAGAAAUGACUGCUAAUACCGGAUGAUGACUUCGGUCCAAAGAUUUAUCGCCGAGGGAUGGGCCCGCGUAGGAUUAGCUAGUUGGUGGGGUAAAGGCCUACCAAGGCGACGAUCCUUAGCUGGUCUGAGAGGAUGAUCAGCCACACUGGGACUGAGACACGGCCCAGACUCCUACGGGAGGCAGCAGUGGGGAAUAUUGGACAAUGGGCGAAAGCCUGAUCCAGCAAUGCCGCGUGAGUGAUGAAGGCCUUAGGGUUGUAAAGCUCUUUUACCAGGGAUGAUAAUGACAGUACCUGGAGAAUAAGCUCCGGCUAACUCCGUGCCAGCAGCCGCGAUAAAGUAGACGUCU
rnacentral:rRNA from 1 species